rnacentral:tRNA from 1 species
GCAUCCGUAGCUCAGUUGAUAGAGUACUUCGGCUACGAACCGAGCGUCGAGGUUCGAACUCUCCCGGAUGCA